GCUAGCUCCUGGGGACAGAUUGGUCACUGCUAACUUUGAGGUAGAGAUGACCCUCUUGCUUAUACUUGAAAUGACUGGUGUGAAAAGUUCAAGGGUGCUCAGAGUGUUGGUUGAGUGCUGUCCACGCUCUGAAUUCAUACGCACUGUGGAGUGGAAUAACAGGUGCUUCCACCUCUAGCGUUGCUUUGAGGACUGUAGAAGAAUGAGCCAUUCUUGAGAGAGUACCUUGAGAAGAGGAAUUUCCAGUUAAAGGAACUAUUCACCCCUGGCUAGUGGUCAAGCCACUUUGUUUUCAAGAGAGGACUUACAAAGGCCAUCAGCAACCUCACAACAUUGCAGAUUGAACCCUUGGCUUCACAUGCUAGGCCCCUCAGGCCACUCCACUACAAUACUCUAGCUUCAUCUACUGUCUUGCACUCUGGUUCCAACCUGUGCUUCAUGUUUCCACCGUCUCAGUCUGCUCAGUCUCUUGACUCUAUCUGGUCCUAUUGUACUUCAGUGCUUUGUGAAUACGCUUCUUCUGCUUGCAGUCAUAUCCUCACUGUUAAAGGCAAAACCCAGAACAAGUGAGCAACUUUUGUUGCUCAGAAUGUUGCAAUGGGGAAUCCACCCCAGGAUGGAGAUCAGAGUGUUUUGGCAGGCUGGUUUCGCCUUAAAUUUUAUAGGGAGGAGAAGAUAAGUUAGAGAUAGGAUGAUUUUGCAGCUGGGAUUGUUUUUGUAAUUGGAGGGAGUUUCAGUCAGUCAGAUGAGCAAGAAAAGUUUAUCCCUGAGUUGAGCCAGUUUUGGGUGGACAAACGGUUCAGUUAAUCAUUUCUGAGAUAAAGGAUGGGAAUUUUCAGGGUCAGUGUCUGGUGUUGUCACACAUAAAUGAGGGAGCCGACUGCAAGUCUUACGGGAGUUAGGAGGCAGAGUAGACAGACCUUGAGUCUUGUUUAAGGUAUAUGGAGUAGGUGGUUCUUUGCAAUUACCCCUUUCCCAGAACACACAAGUGGAGAGGGAUUUUGGAAAACAAAAGGUAAGAAAGGUUAACUCUCUAUUCUCCAGGACCACAGGUUUAGGUAAAGUUCAACAUGGUCACUACCCUGGUUCAGUAAACUCUUGUUAAACAUUUUUGUCCCAAUGACUUUCCUUCAUCAUAAUCAGAUUCCCCAGACUCUGAAACACAUUUUCUUCCAGGGUGUUUACUGUUUCUUGGGAUCCAUACUUGUGGGGAGCAGUUAAGAAACCUGUUUUUGGUGGAGUGGGGUUUCGCAAACCAAUAUGACCCAUGGCCUCUUUGUAUGUGGUCCUGAGCUAAGUAAGAAUGGUUUUUACAUUUUUAAUGGGUUGUGUGUGUGGGGUGCGGGGAAUACUCAAGAUUGACUUUGUGUGUCAUAAAAUGCCUAACAUUUAUUAUCCAUUCCUUUUGGAAAAAAGUUUGCCCACUCCUGAGUUAGAAGGGGAAAGGUGAAGCGAGGUGUGGUGGGCCACCCCUGUAAUCUCAGCUACUCCAAGAGGCUGAGGAUCAAAGACAGAAGGAUCAAGACAGAAGGAUCAAAAUUAAAAAAAAAGGAAUGUUCCCACUACCCCAAUUUUUUCUAGUGUUUUGAGCAUGAAGGGGUGCUGUAUUUUAUCGAAUGCUUUUUCUGCAUCUAUUGAAAUAAUCAUGUGA